rnacentral:rRNA from 1 species
GGAAUAUUGCGCAAUGGGCGAAAGCCUGACGCAGCAACGCCGCGUGGAGGAUGAAGGCCUUCGGGUCGUAAACUCCUGUCAGAAGGGACGAAAAAGUACAGGCAAAUAGUCUGUACCGUUGACGGUACCUUCAGAGGAAGCCCCGGCUAACUCCGUGCCAGCAGCCGCGGUAAUACGGAGGGGGCAAGCGUUAUUCGGAAUUAUUGGGCGUAAAGCGCGCGUAGGCGGCUUGACAAGUCAAAGGUGAAAUCCCUCGGCUCAACUGAGGAAUUGCCUUUGAAACUGUCUCGCUUGAGGCCGGGAGGGGGUAGCGGAAUUCCCAGUGUAGCGGUGAAAUGCGUAGAUAUUGGGAGGAACACCGGUGGCGAAGGCGGCUACCUGGACCGGUUCUGACGCUGAGGCGCGAAAGCGUGGGGAGCAAAC